ACGAGGAGCUGGCACAGUGCAGAAUCACCGUCAAAUUUGGAAUACUGCACAUGUACGCAAGCUGAAGUUGCGUCAUAUUUGUUUACGUUUGUGGAUUUCCAGCAGAAGACACACAGCAAAUUUUUGCGCGGAACUCUAAUAAAUUCCAUCACUGCCCUGAUUUCUUCAUAUCAGGACGAAAACGUAUUAAUAGAUGCAGAACAUCCGCUGUACGACAACAAGAAUGCAAGGAAAGAGAGUUUGGAACGUGUAGCAACGAAAGUUGCACAAGUCUUACAAGGUAUUACCACCGAUGACUGCAAGGCAAAAUUCUCAAUUUUGCGCUCUCACUGCGGCGCUGAACUGAAAAUACGCCAGAGCGAGAGUAGUGGCUCAUCCGGCACCGUAUGCAGACCGAGAGUCUGGUCGUUCGGUCAUUUACAUUCUUCAUGACACCAUGUGAAAGCCGGUAUAAUAUUCCGAACAGUGUUCCAUGCUCAAAGCAACCUGAUGUAUAAUGUGCAACUAAAAUGAGGAAAAUUUUGAGGUGCCUCACAACUGUUAAAGAAAUUGUCAGGACUGGAAAGGUGCCUGACAACACUCUGCUAGAAGUGAACAGGACUGAGAUCAUAAACUUUUAUUAUGAGAGUAGUAAUGUUGAUAGCCCGCCAUGUACAUCGAACAGUGAAAGCCCAGAUAUCACAACUGAUGUAACUAAAAGACUCACUUGAGAAUCUGGAUGUGGUGGUAGUAAACAAUAGUGCUGAAUUUGAAGUGCUUAGUACUCCAGUGGCUUCCAGUGCAUAUUCGGCGACACCAAAAAUUUGGAGGAAGAGAAAGAGUGAUAGUAGUCCUUUAUUAAAUACAGUCCUGGAGAACUUGAACUCAAAAUUAACCGAAAAGGCACCAGUCCCAUCUCCGCAUGAUGCUUUGGGACACUUCAUUGUGGAAGAGUUGGCCAGAAUAAGAAAUCUGAUGAUUGUGAGGGACACAAAACAUAAAAUACUGAAAAUUAUAAUGGAAGCGCAAAUAAUGAAUGAUGAUUGUUGAAUUGUAUGCUUUUAGUGUUUAUUAAUGUGAAAAUACAUUAACAUUCAAAAAUUGAA